UGGAGAAAAGAAUGAAAGUUAGCCAAAAGUGUAUUUUAGAAACUUAAACGUUAUGUCCCAUUGGUGAAGGCCACCAACAGUAAAGGGCUGACUGGCAAAGAAUGUCCUCUCCACCACCUUGGAGGGGCAGUACUGUGCUGGCCCACACUGU